AUCAUAUGCAAAAGUAGAAUUCUACCCUCAGAGAAAAUAGCGCUAAAAGUUCAACAUGCCAGAUGGGAAGAAACCAUUAAACAGCAAGUGGCCCAAAUUCAAGAUCUUCAGAGCAACUUGUUAAGGAUAAGUUUGGCUACCUUCAUCAGAGAAACCAGAAUCUGAAAGCAGAACACUCAAUUGACAUGGCCCCCACCAGAGGGCACCUGAGCCAGUUUCCAGGGUGCUCUCUAUACAGCAAUUGGAUACCCCUAAACAUCUUCCUUGGAAUCACUUAUGAGCACAAGGAUUUUCCAGGAAAACCUUAGUGAAGACUCUGCGACUCGGAAGAACUAAAUCGAUGUCUAAAUUCAAUCCAACCUCAGGUCACCAGGCAAUAGUGUUUAGUAUAUUCUGGAACUUAAUGCACUGACUCGAAAACUCAUUUGAAGGAACAGCCAGGGAUUUUCAAGUGCUUAGCCAAUUUAGGCUUUUCUAGUGCUCAGAAUACUUUCAAGAUCAAGGAACAAGACAUCGUGUUACUGGUACACCAGACAAAGCAGAACUGAGUUUGCAGUUAGAGCCAAAGGAACACACAGGUUUCUGCAGAAUUACGAUGGGACUUCAAAGCAGGGGCAAGGUUAGGAUUAUUUUAGAAAUGGUGUCAGAUAACUCUCUGAGUUAAAAUGAGUGUCCAUUGGAAACUAAUGCAAUGCUGUUACGCUACCUGGAAUGAAACUAAAAAAGUUAAACAAUGAAAUGGGUAUCCAGUGUGUGCAUCAAGGAUUUAAAUGCAAGACAAUGCAAUUACAAAAUUAAAGAAUUAGUGAAUUAAAAAAAACAGUGUUAAGUGGCAAAGUCAAAGAGUGACAGAAACUCGGAAGCAAUGGACAAAAAGAGCCUGAUUCAA